GUUUCACAGUCUGAAUUAGUUCAUACUUACACAUGCAUGGCUUAAUCUUUGAGACAAGCAUAUGACUACUGGCAGGAUCAACCAGGUAGCACUCCUCGGUCGACAUCGGCACGCAUGAGCCCUCUCGAUCAAGAAAGGGUCACCUCGCACUCGAAUGUCAUCCAUCGUUAGCGUACAACGCUUUGGGUGUGCGACGAUUUAACGUCAACACCCACACAACGUUCUGCAUCCAAGGGCCCAACUUGAGAUCGUAAUCCUGCCCUGUCGUGCUUGUUUUCGCUUGACGGGUGGAUAACGAACCAAGUUUCAUUGUCCGCUCGACCUCCUUUUACAGAUGUAGAGCGGAAAUCACUCCUUUAAGGGGAUGACAUCGAUACCGUCAGUAGGAAUUCAACACAGGGACCACACGUCGCCCAAGGCACAUGAUGCACUUGCAGCAAACAAUGAAGAGGUAUGCUGGUGAACGGUUCAGUGCACAAGCAAAGAGCCCGCCAACCACACAAACCAAAUACCACUCACACGCCAUCACGUAUUGCAUCACUAGGAUCAUGCCUACAUGCGCUCCCACAACUACACAUUAAUUGCAAGAGAGCAAGCAAGGACAACCCCGUGGGCACCGCUGGGC
rnacentral:misc_RNA from 1 species